GACGCGAGACUGCGGGGCGCUCAGGCAAGACGCAAGCUUCCCCGGGUCUCCUGAAGCUGUCACUCCAGGCCGCAGGCUGUCAUCGCUCCUCGGCCCGCUCCGUCAGGCGGGCGACUUCCCCGGUGCGAGGCUGGACAGCACCGCCGGCCUGGAGCAACCUGCGCAGAUUAAUGACCUGUCCAGCAUUGCCAGGGAUGGCGGUAGUCCUGUUCUGCUGACCAGAUGCCUUCCGGUGUGAAUGGAGACGGCUCCUAACCUUUCAGAGCAAGGGUUUCUAACCAGCGCUUGCAGCUUAGAAUGCCCAACUCAAAACCAUAAACUUGCUGGGGAUGUAGCUCAAUUGACAGAUUGUUGGACGAGCCAAGACCCAGAGUUUAUUUACAAGUACCACACGAAACAGAUCGGUGGAACGCAGACUCGAGAAUCCAAGCACUGCAGAGGUGUACGCAGCGGGAGCAGGAAUUCAAGAUUAUCCCGUGCCUCCGCAAUUCCUAGCCAGCAGAGACCCUGUGUUGGUUAGUUUUGUCAAUUUGAAAGGAUAUCAAAACACCUGAGAAUACAGUCUCAACGAGAGUUAUAUGGGUUGAGUUGACCCAUGGUUAACAUUUUCAUGAUGGGGUUAAGUGAGGUGGAAGGCCCACUCCGAAUGUGGGAGGUACCAUGUCAUGGAUUAGAUUCUGCACUGUGUUGGGAGGCGAUGGAGAGCAAGCGUCAAGCAUCCACUUGCUCUCUGUUCGUGGCUAUGGGAUGUGGAGCAAGCGCCUGUCCUAGUUCCUGCUGCUGAGACUCCUCCGUAGUAAUGGACUGUCACCUAGAGCUGGAAGCUAAAAUAGUCUUGCUCCAUUUAGUUGCUCUGUCAGGGCGUUUUACUAAAGCGACAGACAUGAAACUACCUGUUAAGACCAUUAUUGAAAUAAAAGAGUAACAU
ensembl:processed_transcript